AGGCCUUAGGGUUGUAAAGCUCUUUCAGCUGGGAAGAUAAUGACGGUACCAGCAGAAGAAGCCCCGGCUAACUCCGUGCCAGCAGCCGCGGUAAUACGGAGGGGGCUAGCGUUGUUCGGAAUUACUGGGCGUAAAGCGCACGUAGGCGGACCAGAAAGUCAGAGGUGAAAUCCCAGGGCUYAACCUUGGAACUGCCUUUGAAACUCCUGGUCUUGAGGUCGAGAGAGGUGAGAGGAAUUCCGAGUGUAGAGGUGAAAUUCGUAGAUAUUCGGAGGAACACCAGUGGCGAAGGCGGCUCACUGGCUCGAUACUGACGCUGAGGUGCGAAAGCGUGC
rnacentral:rRNA from 1 species